AUGGACGAAUGUUUUUAGUCGAAUGUUUUUUGUGAAUAGUUUUAGUAAUGGACGCAUGGUUUCAGUCGAAUAUUAUUUUAAGUAGCAUGAAUGCUUUUAGUAAACUCAGAUGAAUGAAUUUUAUUAGUUGAAAUGAAAACCUGUUACAGAGGUAGAUGAAAAAAGGAAUAAAAAAAAUAACAAAGGAAUUUAAUUUAAUAUUGAUUUAAUAAAGUUUAUAUAAAGUAGAAAAUAAAUAAAUGUGUUGUUUUUGGUAAAAUAUUUAAAAUGCCUUUAUAGGUACCUAUUAAAUAAUCUAAAAAAACUUAUUUCUAUGCUUACAAUUUGGAUUUGGAAAUUUAAUCUAAUCUAAUAAAAGAAUUGAAUACUUAGUUUUAUGCCCAAUCUAAAAAAUAAAUAGGUAAACCUUGACUUUCAUAAGUUUUUUGGUCUUAGGCCCGGUCUUUUCACCUCCGAAUAAAUAUGCUCUUAUCUGGCAGUUAGCUAUCUGGAGGAUAAAUAUUUAUUCGCCAGAUAAAAUGUACCCGUCUUUUCACGUCAAUUUAUGUUCCAGUUAGUUAUCCGGUAGAUAAGCUUAAAACUUUAACUUAACCUAACAUAAUUAGAUUCAAAGAUGAUUUUAUCGAUUUUAUUUCCAUUUUGGAAGAAGGAAUGAAGGAAAUAAGGAAAACAUUGAUUAUGCUGAAAUAGUUUAUUGGAGAGCUUGAACAAGAGGUAAAUCCAUUUUAAAUUAGAGGAAAACUGUUGAUUUGUAUGUAAAAUAGAAGACAAAGACAAGUUUAAAUAAAGACAAGCUAGCUAAUGAAACAGAUGCAGUGAUAUGACAAACACCUAGAAGAUGGAAUCCUGUGUUCUCAAAGAAAAAGCUAGUUCCAGAAAUAAGCUACCAAUAAUAAACUAGAGAAUGUAUUACAAGAAAGAACAACGCUAAUACCCAACAUAGCUCAAUUGCUUCAGAUAGAAAAAGAGGAGGAAAGGGUAGAACACAAGCGUGCCAGAGAAAAUUAAAGGGCAGAAGAGACACAAAAAUUCAUUGAUUUAUUAAAUUUAAUAAUUAAAUUAUACAAAGGACAAUUAAAUAAAGAAUAAAAAAUUA